GACGUCCUUGGCGCUCGUCGAUGGCGAUAGCCGCGCUCAUCCACGGCGCGACGUACAUGGUCGAUCCAGGCGGCCUGUAGGAGUAGAGGAAGGGUUGGGCUCGUCGCCGACACCCUCGCGCGCCCGACCUUCUCCAGCAACUGCGACCACGCCGGAGCAGCAGCAGGACAGGGGCGGAUCUCACCGGAUCAGGUGUCGGGUGGGGGCAGGUGAGAUCUGGCAGCAUUGGACGUCUGGAACGGUGCUGGAGAUGAUGGACCCGUGUAUGAACAACAGCUUCUCGGAGAGCGACGCGAGGAGGUGCAUGCAGGUCGGGCUAAUGUGCGUCCAGGAGAACCCGGUGGACAGGCCGGUGAUGUCUGCGGUGGGCAUGAUGCUUGGAAGCGACAUGGUGUCCCUCGGUGCCCCGUCAAAGCCAGCGUCAACGUUUUACACUAGGAACGCUGGUGCCGACUCCGGAAAUGGGUUCAGUAUCUCGACUAUUUCACUGAAUGAUGAUCCCAAGGAUCAUUUCUAGUAUGACUUAAAUAUAGGAUUGUGCAUCUUUCUUUAGGAGUUUGAUCUUUUGGAUUAGCUAGUUGGUUCUACAUCUAAAAUUCAACAUAUACUAUCUUUUGAUUGUGAAGCACAAGCACAAGAUACCUCAAGUUCAACGCCUAAGGGUGUCUCUAAUCCGUAGACAAAGCCUAGAUCCGGAAAAGCUAGCCAAAAACUUAAAUCCCAAAGAAUUCUUUGUAUUGAAAGGCUAGUCAUCGGCAGAUAGUAAGUAGUAGUACUAUCAGUGUAGUCCAUAUUUCUUGUUUCGAGCUAAAUUAAGGGUGACGUAUUAAGAGGCUA